rnacentral:sRNA from 1 species
UUCGCCCGUCGUUUAUGAGGAUGAGUAUACCUCCGCAGGAGGUUCGAGCCUCGCGAAGCGAGACAACGUUGCUUCAGCAACGGCCCGCAGGGCGCGCAUCAACGAUGCGCGUAAUCCUCUCUCGCCGACCA